UCCAAUCAUUCGCAAGAAUGAGGACGACCUAGUGGCGAACGGGUGCGUAACACAUGAGGAACCUACCCCAGACUCUGGAAUAACAAGUGGAAACACUUGCUAAUACUGGAUGUCGUUGAACCAUCGCAUGGCGGUUCAACGAAAGAUUUAUCGGUCUGGGAGGGCCUCGUGGCCUAUCAGCUUGUUGGCGAGGUAACGGCUCACCAAGGCUUCGACGGGUAGCUGGUCUGAGAGGAUGAUCAGCCACACUGGGACUGAGACACGGCCCAGACUCCUACGGGAGGCAGCAGUGGGGAAUCUUGCACAAUGGGCGCAAGCCUGAUGCAGCAACGCCGCGUGCGGGAAGAAGGCCCUAGGG
rnacentral:rRNA from 1 species